UAGGGAAUCUUCGGCAAUGGGGGGAACCCUGACCGAGCAACGCCGCGUGAGUGAAGAAGGUUUUCGGAUCGUAAAGCUCUGUUGUUAAGGAAGAACGAGUGUGAGAAUGGAAAGUUCAUACUGUGACGGUACUUAACCAGAAAGGGACGGCUAACUACGUGCCAGCAGCCGCGGUAAUACGUAGGUCCCGAGCGUUGUCCGGAUUUAUUGGGCGUAAAGCGAGCGCAGGCGGUUAGAAAAGUCUGAAGUGAAAGGCAGUGGCUCAACCAUUGUAGGCUUUGGGAACUGAUUAACUUGAGUGCAGAAGGGGAGAGUGGAAUUCCAUGUGUAGCGGUGAAAUGCGUAGAUAUAUGGAGGAACACCGGUGGCGAAAGCGGGUCUCUGGUCUGUAACUGACGCUGAGGCUCGAAAGCGUGGGGAGCGAACAGG
rnacentral:rRNA from 1 species